GAUGAACGCUAGCGGCAGGCUUAACACAUGCAAGUCGAGGGGUAUAGGUUUUCGGACCUAGAGACCGGCGCACGGGUGCGUAACGCGUAUGCAAUCUACCUUUCACAGAGGGAUAGCCCAGAGAAAUUUGGAUUAAUACCUCAUAGUAUUACGAGAUGGCAUCAUUUUGUAAUUAAAGUCACAACGGUGAAAGAUGAGCAUGCGUCCCAUUAGCUAGUUGGUAAGGUAACGGCUUACCAAGGCUACGAUGGGUAGGGGUCCUGAGAGGGAGAUCCCCCACACUGAUACUGGGACACGGACCAUACUCCUACGGGAGGCAGCCGUGAGGAAUAUUGGACAAUGGGCGCAAGCCUGAUCCAGCCAUGCCGCGUGCAUGAUGACGGUCCUAUGGAUUGUAAACUGCUUUUGCACAGGAAGAAACAACGCUACGUGUAGCGUCUUGACGGUACUGUGAGAAUAAGGAUCGGCUAACUCCGUGCCAGCAGCCGCGGUAA
rnacentral:rRNA from 1 species